GAUGAAGAACGCAACGAAAUGCGAUAAGUAAUGUGAAUUGCAGAAUUCAGUGAAUCAUCGAAUCUUUGAACGCACAUUGCGCCCGGCAGUACUCUGCCGGGCAUGCCUGUUCGAGCGUCAUUUCAACCCUCAAGCCCUGCUUGGUGUUGGGGUCCCACGGCCGCCGUGGGCCCUGAAAGGAAGUGGCGGGCUCGCUACAACUCCGAGCGUAGUAAUUCAUUAUCUCGCUUAGGGCGUUGGGCGGCGCUCCUGCCGUUAAAGAACCAUCUUUAACUCAAGGUUGACCUCGGAUCAGGUAGGAAUACCCGCUGAACUUAAGCAUAUCAAUAAGCGGAGGA
rnacentral:misc_RNA from 1 species